rnacentral:rRNA from 1 species
AGUGAACGCUGGCGGUAGGCCUAACACAUGCAAGUCGAACGGCAGCACAGUAAGAGCUUGCUCUUACGGGUGGCGAGUGGCGGACGGGUGAGGAAUACAUCGGAAUCUACUUUUUCGUGGGGGAUAACGUAGGGAAACUUACGCUAAUACCGCAUACGACCUACGGGUGAAAGCAGGGGAUCUUCGGACCUUGCGCGAUUGAAUGAGCCGAUGUCGGAUUAGCUAGUUGGCGGGGUAAAGGCCCACCAAGGCGACGAUCCGUAGCUGGUCUGAGAGGAUGAUCAGCCACACUGGAACGGAGACACGGUCCAGACGCCUACGGGAGGCACCAGUGGGGAAUAUUGGACAAUGGGCGCAAGCCUGAUCCAGCCAUACCGCGUGGGUGAAGAAGGCCUUCGGGUUGUAAAGCCCUUUUGUUGGGAAAGAAAAGCAGCAGGUUAAUACCCCGCUGUUCUGUCGGUACCCAAAGAAUAAGCACCGGCUAACUUCGUG